GUAUACAGAAUUGACGUAGAAUUAUUUAAUUGCAUGCAGUUAUAACAAACAAUGAAUAGUCUUAACGUGAGAUGUUUUGGCGUCGGGACAUAUUUCUCCACUUUUUGGGGGGAAACUGCACAGUCAUGCACUUUAACUCGACAUGCUAUGUCGAUACUAGGAGCAGUCUGUCGAUUUCGGAAAACUUAAUGAGGGUGCACUUUGGAACUGCACAUUUGACCGACAUUGUGUUUCUUUGUAUGCUUGAAGUUAUUCCUUCAUGCCGUCCAUAUGGGCACAGAGUCCAUGUCGGGCAGCGUUCGCCGGCCGCGUGAUGGCGCGGCCGGUCUGGCGCAGAUGAUCGUUCCGUGGCGCAGGUCGUUGUAGCGUCUCCUUGCUUAGAAGGUUCUGUUGUGUGGGUACAUGGCCUUGGUUGUGUCAGUGUAUGGGCGACAGGCGUGCUUUGGGUCAGCGAUAUAAUCUCAAGGAAACUUGCGAUGCCGAGGAUCCUGACAUGCCACCAGUGUGGUGCUCGCGUGCGGCACCUGCAACUGUAUCUCAAGCGAAGCCACGGUGUAGCAGACCGCUCCGCUCGCGGCCAGAUGAAAGAUGCAGCGGUCGCCGACGCCCUAGAGUCGAUGUUGCUCGACGGUCUCUGCGCCAGUGAUGGUGCGAGGAACAGUGCGGGGAAGGAAGAGGAUCUGAUCAGCCUCUUCUCCCAUUGUAAGAAAGGAUGGAGGCGGAAGCCAACGACGGCCCUUCGGCAGGAGCGGCAGCUGAGGUCGCUAUUCAACGAGGUAUCUGACACAACUGGACCAUCUGAAAUCAUGAGAAAGAGAUUGGACGACAUCGAGAAGGUUCUUCUCAAGAAGGUCCCGCAUCACACUGCCACUGUCAAGUCGGUGGUCAUUGCGUUGCUCGAGUUUGAGCGUUUCGUGAGUGUGCGGGAGGCAGAGCAUGCUGCAGAGUGGGACGCGACGAGCCAGCGUGACGAGCUCGUAUGAUCGGGAAAUGGAUGCGAGUGGCAGGAGUAAGCGUGCUAGGAGGCGCGUGCUGUAGACAGUACUUACGAAGGAGGCGACGGUCAACGCUCGCUCGUUUGGCAGAAGGUGCUACCGUCACUGCGUAAUCGUCGAACUUGCGUUGUCACCGUAUGGCUUGCGAGAGCUAAAGCAUAGUGACGUAAUUGACGUGUGACACGGACGGGCUGCAGUUUAGAGUGGCCGGUGCCGGCGGGAGCGGCAUACGGUUCGAUGCGUUGUGUGUUCAGUUCAGUUUGUAAGGACUGCUGCUCUAGGGGAAGGGCGUACCACGUGUUUUUCUAUCCUGUGUUAAUGUCCUGUACCAUGUCUAUGGUUUAAUAAUGGAAAAAAAAACUAGUAAAAAGCUCAGAAUCCGCCCGAAAAAUUGCGUGCAAAUAUAUCACGUGAAACUGAA